rnacentral:misc_RNA from 1 species
UGCUUUCUGGCAGAGAAAUUUAUAACGACAAACAAACAGUUUGAAAUUACCGUAAUUAGAUAAGAAAACGAACUUCGAAACAAAACGUGUUAGUCUUAAAAAACCAAACGGAUAAUGCUUUAAACGUACAGCAAACCAACCAUCAGCCAGCCAAAAUGAGCCAAUGUCAAAGUUAACCAACAACUAGAAACACAUCGCAUAGUCAACAGCUCGCAGUGAGCCAUCAACGAACCAAAGUCGAUCAGGAACACACAUAGAAGAAGUGGCCUUAGGGACUAGCUUUAACCACCACCACCAACCAUAGCCAAACGAAUCCCCGAAUAGCCCACGGAAUCCGGAUCUAAGCCAAAAUGCCCGCUACAGCCACAUCCAAGCAGAGAGCUCCGCCCGUCGAGGAGGGCAUGACGCCCAAGAAAACCGCUUUGAUCAUUGUCACCGUGAUCGGAUGCAUUGCCAUCCUGUGGCCAAAGGUCUUCCAUCCCAUGAUGUUCGGCGGCGUUCCGCCGACCCAGCCAAACUUGAAGGAUCCGCGCGCAGCUCCAGGCGGAUGUUGUGAUGUCGUGCUGGACAGGGAGCAGUUCCUGAACGCCUCCAAGAAGGAAACUGUCGAGCCCUUCGGUCCGCAUUUGUAUCGCAAGCAAAUCAAUGUUUACACGGGCGAAAUCAGUCUGCGCCAGGAGCGCCCAGCCCACCUGCAUCCGGAAUCCAUAUACCAGGCCAUGAGGGAGCGGGGUCGCGCCAUUCCCGCCACGCCCACCGUUCCGAUUCUGGAGCGGAAGACUUCGCCCAGUAAUCCGCCGCCGCGGAUCGUCGACGGACGGCCCGGACCCAUUCCUGGAAUGCGUCCACCCAUGGGCGCCGGUGCACUGCAUCAGCCACAACAGCGGGGCAGCAGCAUGGGCUUCCUAAUGCCACUCUACACUAUCGGAAUCGUGGUCUUCUUCGGCUACACCCUAAUGAAGAUUAUGUUCAAGAAGCAAGUGCCCAAUGAACCGUACGGAGCGGCACCAGCCAAUCCUGCUUUCCGACAGGAGGUCUUCGGACAGCAGAACCACAGUCAGGUGGAGGACUUGGGCGGCAGCAAACUGGGCUGGCGAGAGCAUCAGACAAGAGCUGCCGCCGCAAAGAAGCCGGCCGCCAAGGACACCGAAAAGGAGCUGUACAACGCCAGUGUGUCGGCCACCGAGGUGGCCACCAGUUUGUCCGCCUCGCUGAAGAGCCACCAGCAGCUGAAGGAGGCCGAGCAGCUGAUGGAGAUCGAGAAGCUGCGCCAGAAACUCGAGAGCACGGAGCGGGCGAUGGCCCAGUUGGUGGCCGAAAUGAACACCGAUCAGUAUGAGGCAAAGAUGAUUGCCCUCAAGUUUCUCAAGCGGCAGCCAAACUUCUAAGACCAAAAUAACCAUCAUUCAGUUCACAUAGAAUCAGUCAGUAAACAGACCAAAAUCAGACCAACAACAAAUCAGAUCACAACUAAAAAAACGACAACGAAAAAACAAGAGAGCAAGCAGACAAGCAGAACCUUUCCAACGGACAUGCAAAGCCCACGGACGACCAAAAUCCGG